GUGCUUCGCAUUGGCACUUCCAUCUCGGUUGGUACUGGAUCCGCGACCCUGUUCUGGUUUGAUCGGUGGAUUGGCAACAUCCCUAUGGCCGCUCGUUUUCCCGAGCUAUUCGCCAUUACUGUUGACCCUCGGGUCUCUGUCGAGUCGGCCCUUAUUGACUUAGGGCGCCUCGCUUUUCGCCGCCCCAUUGGCCCGUCCGAAGUGGCUGCCUUGGAUGCCCUCCUCCAGGACAUCGCCCUUCUCCCGAUGAGCGUCAACACACCCCCAGACGCCAUCUCUUAGCAUCUGGAGUCUUCCAGUUGCUUCUCCACCAAAUCCCUGUAUGCAGCCAUCGCCCCCUCGCCCGCCCAACCCUUCAGUCUGAUCUGGGACAUCCGCUUGCCCCUGAAAAUCAGGAUCUUCCUGUGGCAAUGGAUCCGUGGACGCCUCCCUUCCGGAGUAGAGGUCCUCAAGCGUAAUGGACCCGGAGAUGGGCUUUGCCCCCCGUGCGGCACGGUGGAAGAUGCUAAUCACAUCUUCUUCACGUGCUCCACGGCCCAGUUUCUUUGGUCCAGUUUCCGCGAGACGGUUGGCGGCCAGUGGUGCAACUACAACUUGCCUGACCUUCUCACAGAGAUCCAUGCCCCCCCUGAUAACCCACAAGUAGGGGAUCACAACAGCUUUUGA
rnacentral:rRNA from 1 species